CCUACGGAGGGCAGCAGUGAGGAAUAUUGGUCAAUGGGCGCGAGCCUGAACCAGCCAAGUCGCGUGAGGGAGGACGGCCCUACGGGUUGUAAACCUCUUUUGCCGGGGAGCAACGGGCGUCACGUGUGGCGCCACUGAGAGUACCCGGAGAAAAAGCAUCGGCUAACUCCGUGCCAGCGGCCGCGGUAAUACGGAGGAUGCGAGCGUUAUCCGGAUUUAUUGGGUUUAAGGGGUGCGUAGGCGGAUCGUUAAGUGAGUGGUCAAAUUGAGGGGCUCAACCCCUUCCCGCCAUUGAAACUGGCGCUCUUGAGUGGAAGAGAAGUAUGCGGAAUGCGUGGUGUAGCGGUGAAAUGCAUAGAUAUCACGCAGAACCCCGAUUGCGAAGGCAGCAUGCCGGCUUCCGACUGACGCUGAAGCACGAAAGCGUGGGGAUCGAACAGGAUUAGAUACCCCAGUAGUC
rnacentral:rRNA from 1 species